rnacentral:rRNA from 1 species
CGAAGGGGGGCUAGCGUUGCUCGGAAUCACUGGGGCGUAAAGGGGCGCGUAGGCGGCUGAUUUUAGUCGAGGGUGAAAGCCCCGUGGCUCAACCACGGGAAUGGCCUUCGAUACUGGUUGGCUUGAGACCGGAAGAGGACAGCGGAACUGCGAGUGUAGAGGUGAAAUUCGUAGAUAUUCGCAAGAACACCAGUGGCGAAGGCGGCUGUCUGGUCCGGUUCUGACGCUGAGGCGCGAAAAGCGUGGGGAGCAAACAGGAUU